CUCCUACAGUUGUGAAUCCUAUCUAUGUAUCUGUCUGUCUGUCUAUCUAUCACUAAAUUUGUUUCUCUAGUAAGCAUUGACUAAUACAGUUAUAGUCCAGGCUCUAUGUCUCAUCAUGGCCACACAGCAGUGUUUGAGUGUUUAUGCUCUGUCCAGCUGAUCUUUACUGGGUCCCAGGCUGUGCACCGGCCAGGCUUGCAUCUCGAUGUCCCCCACUGCAUCAUGCACUAUAUCUGGGAUACUUCAGAGCUGGUGAAUCCAGGGUGUGUGAUGCUGCACUGAAGGAUGUGCAGUGCUGACUUAGUACACUGAUUGGAAAUAGCAUAGUUCUGUGCACCAAGGGGUUACUGAAGACAGGAGCCUCACCCUGAUAGGAGUGGCAACACCCAAAAUGCUUUAGCCUUAAUGGGAUGGAAAAGAAGAGUUAUAGAGCAAGAGGCCAUGCAAAUAGGGCCACUGUCUGCUGAUAAAAGUAGCCCAGCCCUGACCCUGCAGCUCUGCAGAGGAGCCCAGCCGUGGUCCCAGCUGUUUCCCCUCAGUGAUCAGGACUGAGCACAGGCUGCUCACCAUGGAGCUUGUGCUGAGCUGGGUUUUCCUGGUUGCUCUUAUAAAAGACAGUGGAACUAAGAAGAUCCCUGCCUGAUGAUGAUGCAAAAACUUUAUCCUACUGAGGUAACGUGAUGUGGCUGUGACCCAGAUCAUCCCGCAAUCAGCACUGUCCUUUGCAGAAUCGCCCAGAGCACAACUUCCACAUGGACUCGACCUGCAGCAUCCUCUUCCUGAUGGCCGCUGCUACAGAGAAACCCAGGGGCAUUAACAGACACAGGGAGCACGAUGAACUGCAUUCCCUCGUGUAAGAAGAAACUUCCUCCAUAUGCAAAUCCAUCUACCAGUUCUACAGUCAAAUUCCCCUCUCGAGCUGUGGAGCUCACUGCUCUUUCCUCAGAGAGGGCUGAGGUGUCUGGGGAAGGUUGGCUGUGGUCCAGAAGAUGACGCUGUUGGGUCUUCUCCUGUGUCUGGUGACAGCUCUCCAAGGUGUCCUGUCUCAGGUGCAGCUGCAGGAGUCGGGGCCAGGCCUGGUAAAGCCCUCAGAGACUCUGUCACUCACCUGCAAGGUCACUGGUUACUCCAUCACCAGUGGUUACUGGUGGAGCUGGAUCCGUCAGCCCCCAGGAAAGAGCCUGGAGUGGAUGGGGUACAUAAAUAGCAAUGGUGGCACUAGCUACAGCCCGUCCCUCCAGAGCCGCAUCUCCAUCUCCAGAGACACGGGCAAGAACGAGUUCUCUCUGCAGCUGAAUUCUGUUACUGAGGAGGACACAGCCGUGUAUUACUGUGCAAGACACACAGUGAUCUGAUACAAAUGGGAACCUAGACAGAAACCUCUCUGCAGGGAAACCCGGGAGCAGCAGGGGGCGCUCGGCACACACUGAGGUAGGGAGUCAGUUUCACUGCAGAUGUGGAGAAAAGCCUGGAGAGUUUUCUCUACAGGUGAUCAACAUCUCAAUCUGUAGCCCAGGUACAGAGAUUACAGGAUGUUUUAUUGCUCUGAUCCUACAGUAUUGGGCUUGCA